GGUUGAAAGCCUAUUUUAUUAAAAUGGCUACUCCAGCUUACUUCUUGAGUCUACUUGCUUGGCAAACCUAUUUCAUGACCUUUACUCUGAGCAUCUACUUCAAAUAAGAAACUACUGCUGAUGGUCCAAAUGGAAAACAAUGGCUGUGUUGCUACAGUAUGGAUGCAGAAAUGUCAAAAUCAAGUUGAAAUCCAUGGUUAUUCAGAAGAAUGUAAUAAAAACAUAACCUUAAAUUAUUUCCAGAUUAUAUUGAUAUCAAUAAACUAAGAGCAGAAGAAA